rnacentral:rRNA from 1 species
CCUACGGGUGGCAGCAGUAGGGAAUAUUGCUCAAUGGUGGAAACCCUGAAGCAGCAACGCCGCGUGGAGGAUGAAGGUUUUCGGAUUGUAAACUCCUUUUGUUAGAGAAGAUAAUGACGGUAUCUAACGAAUAAGCACCGGCUAACUCCGUGCCAGCAGCCGCGGUAAUACGGGGGGUGCAAGCGUUACUCGGAAUCACUGGGCGUAAAGAGCGCGUAGGCGGGGUAGCAAGUCAGAUGUGAAAUCCUAGGGCUUAACCCAAGGACUGCAGUUGAAACUGUUAUUCUCGAGUUUGGGAGAGGUAGGUGGAAUGCGUGGUGUAGGGGUAAAAUGCGUAGAGAUCGAGAGGAACACUGAUUGCGAAGGCGACCUGCUAGAACCUAACUGACGCUGAGGCGCGAAAGCGUGGGGAGCAAACAGGAUUAGAUACCCUAGUAGUC